rnacentral:rRNA from 1 species
CCAGCUCCAAUAGCGUAUAUUAAUUUUGUUGUAGUUAAAAAGCUCGUAGUUGGAUCUCGGCAGGCAGGGGGCGGUCCGUUAUUUGACGAGACUGCCCCAUUUGCCUGUGUUUCUCGGCAGAAUUUGCAGGGUGCUCUUCACCGAGUGUCCUGUGAGGCUGCCAGGUUUACUUUGAAAAAAUUAGAGUGCUCCAAGCAGGCUCGACACGCCUGAAUAUUCGUGCAUGGAAUAAUGGAAUAGGACGUCAUUCCUAUUUUGUUGGUUUUAGGGAAUCGACGUAAUGAUUAAUAGGGACAGCCGGGGGCAUUAGUAUUCAGACGACAGAGGUGAAAUUCUUGGACCGUCUGAAGACUAACAACUGCGAAAGCAUUUGCCAAGAGUGUUUUCAUUAAUCAAGAACGAAAGUUAGAGGUUCGAAGGCGAUCAGAUACCGCCCUAGUUCUAACCAUAAACGAUGCCAGCUAGCGAUCUGAAGAUGUUUUUUUUGUAGGCUCUUCAGGAAGCUUCCGGGAAACCAAAGCAAUUGGGUUCUAGGGGAAGUAUGGUUGCAAAGCUGAAACUUAAAAGAAUUGACGGAAGGGCACCACCAGGCGUGGAGCCUGCGGCUUAAUUCGACUCAAC